CCUACGGGAGGCAGCAGUGAGGAAUAUUGCACAAUGGGGGAAACCCUGAUGCAGCGACGCCGCGUGAGUGAUGAAGUAUCUCGGUAUGUAAAGCUCUAUUAGCAGGGAAGAAAAUGACGGUACCUGACUAAGAAGCCCCGGCUAACUACGUUCCAGCAGCCGCGGUAAUACGUAGGGGGCCAGCGUUAUCCGGAUUUACUGGGUGUAAAGGGAGUGUAGGUGGGAUGGUAAGCCAGAGGGGUAAAGACAGGGGUCAAACCGUUAGAUUGCUUUUGAAACUAUCAAGCUAGAGUGCUGGAGGGGUGAGCGGAAUUCGUGGUGUAGCGGUGAAAUGCGUAGAUAUUAGGAAGAACACCGAUGGCGAAGGCGGCUUACUGGACAGAAACUGACACUGAGGCUCGAAAGCGUGGGGAGCAAACAGGAUUAGAUACCCGUGUAGUC
rnacentral:rRNA from 1 species